rnacentral:lncRNA from 1 species
GCACAGCCCAGCAGACACGGACUGUAAACACGAGUGAGAGAGAAGAAGAUAGUUUUAUACCGGAGAGGAACGUCUGAGCAGCCGUGUUUGUACUGAUAAACUAGCAAAGCUCUUAAGUCUCACUUAUUGGGCCUGAUGUUAGUCACUGAUGUUCGUGUGUGUGAGCCACGGCAGACGCCACUUCCUCCUGUGCCAUGCUAUUGUUAGCUUCUCAAACACGGUAGCUCUCUGAAUAGAUACUUUGAAACCGCCAGCCACCGGUGAGUCUUCUGCAGACACGUUUCCCAUUGUUUAAAUCAUAUAGCUGUUGUUCAAUAACGCGCUGUUUCACUAGAGUCGAUAUUGACCUCAACCUGUUCAAUUCUCCAUCUGGAAAACUGCGGAUUCUGUGUCAUGCUGUGGAUGGAAGCUAAGCUCUGACCACUCGGUUCGAAGGAGAAUCAACAGAAGUUUAAAUGACAUGGAUGGCAGCACUGCACAACAACAGGGAAGUGAUGAAGUUAUCGUCCAAACAGAUGAGCAAAGAGCUGAAUAUUCAAUAAUUGCACAGAAAAAUAAUGAAGAUUCCAGCAAAGCAAAACAGCAGCAAGCAGAACCUUCCAUGACAGCACAGGAACAUGAUGAAGAUGCCAGCCAGACAUGCAAACAUAGAGCAGAGACACACAAUAAGUCUACAGGAAAGUGAUGAAGAUGCCAGAAAAACAAAUGAGCUGAGAGCAGAAACUUCAACAAUAAGCCAUGAUAGUGAUGAAGACAGCCAAACAGAAGAGCAGAAACUUUUAAUGAAGCACAGAGCUCUCAGAGCAAUGAUGACGCUGGCAGCCAAACAGAAGUGCAAAGAGCAGACCUAUAAACAUUGGAACAGAAAGAACUUCAGCAUAUUGCCCACCUGUGGAACACCCACAUUAUUCAGAGAAGCAGAAAUGCAGUUGCACCUAGUGGCCGGCCUCACAUGAUGUACAUGCUUCCUCAGCUUUUUGGGGAAAGGACUAUCUCAAACAUGCAUCUGUGCAAGCAGUACAAACAUGCAGAGCACAAUGCAUACAACGAGGACCUUACCCAUGUGAUGAGACUGCCAUCCACUGGAAGGUUAAUGUGAACACAGACAACUUCCUUCAUCUCCCAUCCACAAUUGAACUGUAUCUAUUUUUAAGAACUUGCAUACGUAAAGAUUUGUGAAAUAAGCUAUCCUGGCUAGUAAAGCACCACCUGCAUUAAUAUUUUUCUAUUCAUAUUGUGUGAAGGUGUGAUAGCAGUGUUACAGAUUUUUCCAUUUAAAGGUAAUAAAAUAAACAAAUAGUUUAUAACA